rnacentral:rRNA from 1 species
AUUGAACGCUGGCGGCAUGCCUUACACACGCAAGUCGAACGGCAGCACGGGGCAACCUGGUGGCGAGUGGCGAACGGGUGAGUAAUGCAUCGGAACGUACCUUUCAGUGGGGGAUAACGUAGCGAAAGUUACGCUAAUACCGCAUAUUCUGUGAGCAGGAAAGCAGGGGAUCGCAAGACCUUGCGCUGAUUGAGCGGCCGAUGUCAGAUUAGCUAGUUGGUGAGGUAAAGGCUCACCAAGGCGACGAUCUGUAGCGGGUCUGAGAGGAUGAUCCGCCACACUGGAACUGAGACACGGUCCAGACUCCUACGGGAGGCAGCAGUGGGGAAUUUUGGACAAUGGGGGCAACCCUGAUUCAGCCAUGCCGCGUGAGUGAAGAAGGCCUUCGGGUUGUAAAGCUCUUUCGGCCGGGAAGAAAUCGCACGGGCUAAUACCCUGUGUGGAUGACGGUACCGGAAUAAGAAGCACCGGCUAACUACGUGCCAGCAGCCGCAGUAACAC